rnacentral:rRNA from 1 species
UUUAAAGAGAGUUUGAUCCUGGCUCAGGACGAACGCUGGCGGCGUGCCUAAUACAUGCAAGUCGAACGAACGGAGGAAGAGCUUGCUCUUCCAAAGUUAGUGGCGGACGGGUGAGUAACACGUGGGCAACCUGCCUGUAAGUUGGGGAUAACUCCGGGAAACCGGGGCUAAUACCGAAUAAUAAGAUGUGGCGCAUGCCACGCCUUUGAAAGAUGGUUUCGGCUAUCGCUUACAGAUGGGCCCGCGGUGCAUUAGCUAGUUGGUAGGGUAA